rnacentral:SRP_RNA from 1 species
UUGUUGCGGCUARCUUUGCUWUCGGGGKGAAAANCCUGAGGAAGUUCCCUGGACAUUGGGCAGAGAGUGUCGACCUGUAAGAGGUGUUCAUCCUAUCAUUAGAGAUCUUAUAGCCAUGUUUGAGCUUGACCUCUGCGAUGGGAUAUACGUCACAUCAGAGUAAUGCAUAAGGCAUUAUCGAAAGAUAAUGAACUUAAUAGGGGCCAUUCAGCCACAACU